rnacentral:rRNA from 1 species
CCUACGGGUGGCAGCAGUGGGGAAUAUUGCGCAAUGGGGGAAACCCUGACGCAGCAACGCCGCGUGGGGGACGAAGGCUUUCGGGUUGUAAACUGCUUUUGUUAGGGACGAUUAUGACGGUAUCCAUCGAAUAAGCUCCGGCUAACUCCGUGCCAGCAGCCGCGGUAAUACGGAGGGUGCAAGCGUUAUUCGGAAGCAUUGGGCGUAAAGCGCGCGUAGGCGGGAUGAUAAGGCAGAUGUGAAAUCCCCGGGCUCAACCGUAGAACCGCGUGUGAAACUGUUGUGCUCGAGUACGGGAGAGGUAGGCGGAAUUCCUGGUGUAGCGGUGAAAUGCGUAGAGAUCAGGAGGAACACUCAUGGCGAAGGCGGCCUGCUAGAACGUAACUGACGCUGAGGCGCGAAAGCGUGGGGAGCAAACAGGAUUAGAUACCCCUGUAGUC